UUGGAUAAAUGACUGUGUCUAAGCACUGCUCUCCAGAAGACUUUAUUAGCAGAAGCACAACACUCUUCUAGUGAAAAAGUCACACACAGCCGAAUAUUUUCCCCAAAUCCUUGUUCCCUGAAGUUCCAGUUGUAUAUUCUGUCCCUACAUGACCAAGGAUUCCACAAGAGGGAAGUCUCUAGAGUUUCAUCAAAUACAUAGUAUAGGACAUUCCUACAAAAUCGUUAGCUCAGAUCUUGAACAGUUCUCUUCAUUACAUGGAAGACUGUAAGGAAGAUUUUUAAAUGUAUGUUCUGGCUGUGAGCUGAAAUGCAAAGAUAUCUCAGUCAGCACAGCUCAAGGGUGUGGGAAUUUAAAAUGCAGCUGUUACCCAGGUGAUGGGAAUGUGGAGCUAUGCAGUGAUGAAACCCAGCAGCUAUCACUUUUCCUGAAAUGAAGCCUCACUGUCCUGUCCUACUGUCAUCACUUCACCCUCAUGCCACCAUGUCCUCUUUCUGGGACCAUCACUGUUGCCUCUGCCUCAAACUGGUGUGCCAAGAAGCUUUAGCUGAGAAGAUUACAUGUUCAAGAAUGCUUCAAUAGCUCUUCUCCAUCAUUUGGACAUCUAGAUGUAUGUGCAAAGAGCAACAGAAAGGACCUUGGAGACUGAAACCUGAGAAAUUAAAGAAAACAGUAACACCAUAUUCAGAAAGAUGUACUCACGUGCCAAAGGGCAUCUGGAAGGAGCUGAUCCAGCAGCUCAAGAGUCUUGUCACUAGAGCUGAGGCACCAGAU